AACGAACGCUGGCGGCAUGCCUAACACAUGCAAGUCGAACGAGACCUUCGGGUCUAGUGGCGCACGGGUGCGUAACACGUGGGAAUUUGCCUCGGGGUAUGGAAUAAACUCAGGGAAACUUGAGCUAAUACCAUAUAAUGUCUUCGGACCAAAGAUUUAUCGCCCUGAGAUAAGCCCGCGUAGGAUUAGCUAGUUGGUGGGGUAAAGGCUCACCAAGGCGACGAUCCUUAGCUGGUCUGAGAGGAUGAUCAGCCACACUGGGACUGAGACACGGCCCAGACUCCUACGGGAGGCAGCAGUGGGGAAUAUUGGACAAAUGGGCGAAAGCCUGAUCCAGCAAUGCCGCGUGAGUGAUGAAGGCCUCGGUUGUAAGACGUCUUUACUUCGGGUACGAGUAAUAGACGGUACCGACGAG
rnacentral:rRNA from 1 species